UGGAGUCGCUUUUGCUUUAGUCAUGGAUAUGAAUUAUAAAGAAAAGGUGCUCUCCCAGCUUCAGCCUUGAACCGGAGAGAGUAAACAUGUAAAAUUAGAGAGUGGGGCCAGAAAACAGCAACACCAGAGGAAUGCCUACUAGUGUGAACAGAAAACAGCAGACUGGAAGCUACCAUUGAGAACGAAGUGUGGACCUUGCAAAUCUAUCACAACGGUACAAACAGCGGCUUUAGUACAAAGGCCUUCGCUUGGUUGGAGGCUGGACCACUGGAGUUCUGAUGAGUAGCUUUCUUGUGGCUGUUUCAGCCAUGCAGCCCAAUCCUAUGCAUGUUUAUGUAGGAGUCAGUCCUACUGGAUUUGAUGGGUCUUGGUCCUAGAUAAGCGUGUGCAAAAUGUCAGCCUUAAAGCUUCAUUCUGAAGCUACCAGACUUCAAGCACGCAGUGUGAAAUAUAUUUUAUUGGUUUACAUUUUGAAUUAAUUGACUUUGAUAUGCAGAUCAGAGAGGGGAGAUAUUGGAAAAAGUUUUUCAUCACAAGAUCCCAUAUACUGUUAGACAGUGCAGCUAAUUAAGUAUGUGUACUUUUUUUAAAAUUUCCUCAAGGUGUGAUUGGGGAAUGCUUAAUGGAGCUUGUACCCUUGGCAAACUCUCGGGGAUAUUCUGAAGGUGAUGUAAUCAAUGCACAUUUAAACAGUCUCUAUUCAUAAUUUGGUUGACAAUGAUUACAUAGAAAUUCAAUGUAUUUAUCUUACAUUUUCCCAGUUCUUUAUGAUUUUGGCUAUUUGGCUGUUAAAACUAAAAGAAUAAUCCAAAAAUAAAGUCCAAUUAUAUAUGUCUUUUUUUAAAAAAAUCUUUUGAGUGAAGAGCUCAUAUGUUGAGUGGGAGCUCAAAGAGAAUUUUAAAAGCUGAGAGAGAAACCCUUGUAUGACUUUUUCCUUUCACCCUAGAGGGAGAUUCUGCAUCACAUAUGAAGCCCUAAGGAACCAGACAUCUCUUAAUUCUAGCUGGUUAUAGGUUCCAAAUGAAAUGAAAAAUAAAACUCCCCCAUACUAAAAAGAAAGUAAAGCUUACUACUUCCACAUCUCUGCAGGAUCUCCCAAACCUGUAUGCAUUCCUAUUAGAGCCUCUCCACUGCACCACUGGGUGCUGUCAAGUCAGUCAUGAACUAGGUUGUGACACAACAAAACUGAACUGGAAGGGGGAAACCUGGCUUGUACCUUUCCAUUAAAGGGUAUUUGUUUCAUCAUAUCUGUGCUUGGAGACUAUUUUCCAUAUUAUGAAGGGAACAAUUUCCUUUACUGUCUGCCUGGUGAAAUGCAAUGAAGGCAAAAGUGUUUUGACGCUUAGAGUUCCAAAAUGAAAAGCUUACUCUUGAAUGUUCUGCAUUAUAAUAAUAAUUUAUAUAAUGCCAUCUGUGUAUGUGGUGCUUUAUAGAGUACAUGAGGACAGGUCCUGCCCUGAAGAGCUUACAAAUAUUAGAAGCCAAAUCGUUAGGGUUCCAACACACACACACACACACACACACACACACACACACACACACACACACACUGGAUUAGUUGACAAUAUAGGCAGAAAGUGAAUCAACAUGCAUCUUGCCAUAUUGGUUAUCAAGGAGUGUAGUAACACUCCUCGAUAAUUCAUUAGGAGUUUUGAAGAAUGGUGUCAGCAGUUUGCUGAUGACAAGCAGCUCUAUUUCUCCACAACAUCUGAAUCAGGAGAGGCUGUGAACACUCUGGAUUGGUGUCUGAAUGCUGUUGUGGAUUGGAUGAGAGCCAAUCAACUGUGCUUGAAUCCUGGGAAAAUGGAGGUUCUUUAGGUAGGUGAUUCCUAUGUUUGGGAGACAGACAGGUUACCUGUUCUGGAUGGGGUUGUGCUCCCUCUGAAGGACCAGGUCCGUAGCUUAGGGGUACCCCUGGAUUCAAGUAUCCUCUGUGACUACAGGUGCCUUUUACCAGCUUUGUCUAGUUUGUCAGCUGCAGCCAUUCCUGGACAGGGAUUGCCUAACCACUGUAGUCCAUGCAUAGGUAACCUUGAGGCUGGAUUACUGCAAUGUGCUCUAUAUGGGGCUGUCCUUGGCCUUGGUUCAGAAGCUUCAGCUGGUGCAAAAAAGGGCAGCCAGACUGCUGAUGGGGGCACAUGGCUGACAACCUGCAACAUCACUCUUAAAACAUCUGCACUGGCUGCCAUCCACUACUAAGCCAGGUUCAAGGUCCUUUUAUUAAUUUGCAAAGCCCUGAACAACUUAGGUCCAGGAUAUCUUAGGGACCGCCUUAACCCUUAUAUCCUAGCUUAGAAUCAUAGAAUAGUAGAGUUGGAAGGGGCCUAUAAGGCCAUCAAGUCCAACCCCCUGCGCAAUGCAGGAAUGCUUGAUCACUAAGAUCAUCUGCAGGAUCAGCUUUGGUUAUUCCCCUGAGUUGAUGAGGCUCAUUUAACAAUGACAUGAAAUUGAGCCUUGAGUGUCAUUAGCCCAGUUCUCUGAGCCUUCUGUUUUAACUUUUAAAUGCCUGCUGCGAAC